UACGUAGGGGCGCAAGCGUUAUCCGGAAUUAUUGGGCGUAAAGAGCUCGUAGGCGGUUUGUCGCGUCUGCCGUGAAAGUCCGGGGCUCAACUCCGGAUCUGCGGUGGGUACGGGCAGACUAGAGUGAUGUAGGGGAGACUGGAAUUCCUGGUGUAGCGGUGAAAUGCGCAGAUAUCAGGAGGAACACCGAUGGCGAAGGCAGGUCUCUGGGCAUUAACUGACGCUGAGGAGCGAAAGCAUGGGGGAGCGAACAGG
rnacentral:rRNA from 1 species